GCGAUUGUACACCAGUGGACCUCUUCACAGAAUGACAUCCUACAACGUCUCAGCCCGAAGAUGCCAAGUUUGAUUCCCAAUCUGGACUAGGGCCUUUCUUUAUGGUGUUUACAUGUUCUCUGCGUGUCUGUGCGGCUUUCCGCCAGAUGCUCUGGUUUCCUCCCACCGUCGAAAUAUACACAUUGUGUAUGAAAGUGUGAAUGUGACAGGGCCCACUUGAAAAAAAGUUCAAACACAACUAAUGAGGUUAGUCAUAAACUCUUACAUGAUGUCAGAUGAGCAUGGAUGUUGACAAAACUUCACAAAUUCUUCUAUUGGUAUGGGUGUGUGUGGGAAAGGUACAGUAAAAACAAAUUUCUACCCCCCAAAAAAGUGUGUAGUAUAAUGUAUUAUGAUUUAUAUUUUACAGAUUCUAACAAUGUUUUCCCAGGGCACUCCGCAAAGUUUGGAAGCGACACCAUGAUGGACCUCAGAACCAACAGAGUUAUUGAUAUUCAAUUGGUUCAGAGCAACGAGGUUGGUGGAAGCUACCACAUGGAAAAAGAGGGGCUGCAGAGGAGCCUGACCUUGUUAAAUGAAAGGGGUGUGACUCUGGACUGUAUUCUUACUGACCGUCAUCCACAAAUCCAGAAAUUCCUGAGGGAAAGCAACAUCACCCAAUUCUUUGACUUUUGGCAUAUCGAGAAAGGAAUUUCAAAGCAACUAGACAACUACGCCAACAUGAAAGACUGUGAGAGGUUACGGAAGUGGAUGCAUUCAAUCAAAAAUCACAUCUACUUGACUGCAGCAUCAUCCACGACUGGACCUGAGAGGGUGGCAAAAUGGAACUCCAUCCUGAACCAUGUGCAGAAUAUCCACACAUGAGGACCCCAUUUUCCCUAACUGCCAACAUGAACUGCGCAAAACCAGGGACAAACACAAAUAGCAAGCAGCAACACCAGAAUUCUUCAAAUUGGAGAAGGUCAUGUUGAACAAGCAAAUCCUGACAGCUGUGGAAAAAAUCAGUCCCCACCACCAAACCUCAUCUGUGGAGGCUUUCCACAGUGUCAUCCUUCAUUUUGCACCCAAGAACGUGGUUUUUCCUUUUCUUGGAAUGCUGUGCAGACUCUACUUGGCUGUACUCUACUACAAUGAGAAUGCUGACCGACCACAAGCCAAAACUUCUGCUGGAGAACCAGUCUUCAAGGUGCACU